rnacentral:rRNA from 1 species
AGAUUAAGUUAUUAAGGGCGCACGGUGGAUGCCUUGGCACUAGAAGCCGAAGAAGGACGUUACUAACGACGAUAUGCUUUGGGUAGCUGUAAGUAAGCGUUGAUCCAGAGAUUUCCGAAUGGGGGAACCCAACAUGAGUUAUGUCAUGUUAUCGACAUGUGAAUUCAUAGCAUGUCAGAAGGCAGACUCGGAGAACUGAAACAUCUUAGUACCCGGAGGAAGAGAAAGAAAAAUCGAUUCCCUGAGUAGCGGCGAGCGAAACGGGAAGAGCCCAAACCAACAAGCUUGCUUGUUGGGGUUGUAGGACACUCUAUACGGAGUUACAAAAGAACAUGUUAGACGAAUCAUCUGGAAAGAUGAAUCAAAGAAGGUAAUAAUCCUGUAGUCGAAAACAUAUUCUCUCUUGAGUGGAUCCUGAGUACGACGGAGCACGUGAAAUUCCGUCGGAAUCUAGGAGGACCAUCUCCUAAGGCUAAAUACUCUCUAGUGACCGAUAGUGAACCAGUACCGUGAGGGAAAGGUGAAAAGUACCCCGGAAGGGGAGUGAAAGAGAACUUGAAACCGUGUGCUUACAAGUAGUCAGAGCCCGUUUAUGGGUGAUGGCGUGCCUUUUGUAGAAUGAACCGGCGAGUUACGAUCUGAUGCAAGGUUAAGCAGCGAAUGUGGAGCCGUAGCGAAAGCGAGUCUGAAUAGGGCGUUGAGUAUUUGGUCGUAGACCCGAAACCAGGUGAUCUACCCUUGGUCAGGUUGAAGUUCAGGUAACACUGAAUGGAGGACCGAACCGACUUACGUUGAAAAGUGAGCGGAUGAACUGAGGGUAGCGGAGAAAUUCCAAUCGAACUUGGAGAUAGCUGGUUCUCUCCGAAAUAGCUUUAGGGCUAGCCUCAAGUGAUGAUUAUUGGAGGUAGAGCACUGUUUGGACGAGGGGCCCCUCUCGGGUUACCGAAUUCAGACAAACUCCGAAUGCCAAUCAAUUUAACUUGGGAGUCAGAACAUGGGUGAUAAGGUCCGUGUUCGAAAGGGAAACAGCCCAGACCACCAGCUAAGGUCCCAAAAUAUAUGUUAAGUGGAAAAGGAUGUGGCGUUGCCCAGACAACUAGGAUGUUGGCUUAGAAGCAGCCAUCAUUUAAAGAGUGCGUAAUAGCUCACUAGUCGAGUGACACUGCGCCGAAAAUGUACCGGGGCUAAACAUAUUACCGAAGCUGUGGAUUGUCCUUCGGACAAUGGUAGGAGAGCGUUCUAAGGGCGUUGAAGCAUGAUCGCAAGGACAUGUGGAGCGCUUAGAAGUGAGAAUGCCGGUGUGAGUAGCGAAAGACGGGUGAGAAUCCCGUCCACCGAUUGACUAAGGUUUCCAGAGGAAGGCUCGUCCGCUCUGGGUUAGUCGGGUCCUAAGCUGAGGCCGACAGGCGUAGGCGAUGGAUAACAGGUUGAUAUUCCUGUACCACCUAGUAUCGUUUUAAUCGAUGGGGGGACGCAGUAGGAUAGGCGAAGCGUGCUGUUGGAGUGCACGUCCAAGCAGUAAGGCUGAGUGUUAGGCAAAUCCGGCACUCGUUAGGCUGAGCUGUGAUGGGGAGAGGAAAUUGUUUCCUUGAGUCGUUGAUUUCACACUGCCGAGAAAAGCCUCUAGAUAGAUAACAGGUGCCCGUACCGCAAACCGACACAGGUAGUCAAGAUGAGAAUUCUAAGGUGAGCGAGCGAACUCUCGUUAAGGAACUCGGCAAAAUGACCCCGUAACUUCGGGAGAAGGGGUGCUCUUUAGGGUUCACGCCCAGAAGAGCCGCAGUGAAUAGGCCCAAGCGACUGUUUAUCAAAAACACAGGUCUCUGCUAAACCGUAAGGUGAUGUAUAGGGGCUGACGCCUGCCCGGUGCUGGAAGGUUAAGAGGAGUGGUUAGCUUCUGCGAAGCCACGAAUCGAAGCCCCAGUAAACGGCGGCCGUAACUAUAACGGUCCUAAGGUAGCGAAAUUCCUUGUCGGGUAAGUUCCGACCCGCACGAAAGGCGUAACGAUUUGGGCACUGUCUCAACGAGAGACUCGGUGAAAUCAUAGUACCUGUGAAGAUGCAGGUUACCCGCGACAGGACGGAAAGACCCCGUGGAGCUUUACUGUAGCCUGAUAUUGAAAUUCGGCACAGCUUGUACAGGAUAGGUAGGAGCCAUUGAAACGUGAGCGCUAGCUUACGUGGAGGCGUUGGUGGGAUACUACCCUAGCUGUGUUGGCUUUCUAACCCGCACCACUUAUCGUGGUGGGAGACAGUGUCAGGCGGGCAGUUUGACUGGGGCGGUCGCCUCCUAAAAGGUAACGGAGGCGCUCAAAGGUUCCCUCAGAAUGGUUGGAAAUCAUUCACAGAGUGUAAAGGCAUAAGGGAGCUUGACUGCGAGACCUACAAGUCGAGCAGGGUCGAAAGACGGACUUAGUGAUCCGGUGGUUCCGCAUGGAAGGGCCAUCGCUCAACGGAUAAAAGCUACCCCGGGGAUAACAGGCUUAUCUCCCCCAAGAGUUCACAUCGACGGGGAGGUUUGGCACCUCGAUGUCGGCUCAUCGCAUCCUGGGGCUGUAGUCGGUCCCAAGGGUUGGGCUGUUCGCCCAUUAAAGCGGUACGCGAGCUGGGUUCAGAACGUCGUGAGACAGUUCGGUCCCUAUCCGUCGUGGGCGUAGGAAAUUUGAGAGGAGCUGUCCUUAGUACGAGAGGACCGGGAUGGACAUACCUCUGGUGUACCAGUUGUCGUGCCAACGGCAUAGCUGGGUAGCUAUGUAUGGACGGGAUAAGUGCUGAAAGCAUCUAAGCAUGAAGCCCCCCUCAAGAUGAGAUUUCCCAACUUCGGUUAUAAGAUCCCUCGAAGAUGACGAGGUUAAUAGGUUCGAGGUGGAAGCGUGGUGACACGUGGAGCUGACGAAUACUAAUCGAUCGAAGACUUAAUCAAU